CUAGCGACUUCAGAGUUUGAUCCUGGCUCAGGAUGAACGCUGGCGGCAUGCCUAAUACAUGCAAGUCGAACGAAGCAUCUUCGGAUGCUUAGUGGCGAACGGGUGAGUAACACGUAGGUAACCUGCCUCCAAGACUGGGAUAACGAUUGGAAACGAUUGCUAAUACCGGAUAGGUAAUCGGAUCGCAUGAUCUGAUUAUUAAAGUUGGGAUGCAACACUUGGAGAUGGACCUGCGGUGCAUUAGCUAGUUGGUGAGGUAACGGCCCACCAAGGCGACGAUGCAUAGCCGACCUGAGAGGGUGAACGGCCACAUUGGGACUGAGACACGGCCCAA
rnacentral:rRNA from 1 species